rnacentral:rRNA from 1 species
UGGGGAAUAUUGCACAAUGGGCGCAAGCCUGAUGCAGCCAUGCCGCGUGUAUGAAGAAGGCCUUCGGGUUGUAAAGUACUUUCAGCGGGGAGGAAGGUGUUGAGGUUAAUAACCUCAGCAAUUGACGUUACCCGCAAAAGAAGCACCGGCUAACUCCGUGCCAGCAGCCGCGGUAAUACGGAGGGUGCAAGCGUUAAUCGGAAUUACUGGGCGUAAAGCGCACGCAGGCGGUCUGUCAAGUCGGAUGUGAAAUCCCCGGGCUCAACCUGGGAACUGCAUUCGAAACUGGCAGGCUAGAGUCUUGUAGAGGGGGGUAGAAUUCCAGGUGUAGCGGUGAAAUGCGUAGAGAUCUGGAGGAAUACCGGUGGCGAAGGCGGCCCCCUGGACAAAGACUGACGCUCAGGUGCGAAAGCGUGGGGAGCAAACA